GUAUAUUCGGCAGUACAUAUACUAAAAUUGGAACGAUACAGAGAAGAUUAGCAUCUCC
rnacentral:snRNA from 1 species